rnacentral:misc_RNA from 1 species
AAGUCGUAACAAGGUUUCCGUAGGUGAACCUGCGGAAGGAUCAUUAACACGUAUCCACGUAUCAACCAAUGUGAACCCGUUUUCAAUCUCCCUUGAUCCUACAUGAGUUGGCUAGGCGGCUAUAGAUUAGAGUGGAACUCUUCGGAGUUCGUCUAUACCUCCGACCGAUGAGUUUCGAUUCAUCCACAACUGUAGUAGGAUUGAGAUUAAUUCUGGCAGCGCAAAGCCACUCUCUGGACGGCGCUGUUGGAUGCCACAAUUAACCAUUUUCACCCCCUUUUUGCUAGUUGACUUUAUCUAUGUUGAUCAUUCAUGCCUGCAUGUGUGCUCACACGUUUAAUUAUUUGAACGUUAAUAAAACAACUCUUAGCAAUGGAUAUCUUGGUUCUC